UGUGUGGAAAUGAACUCUUGUUAGAGUUUCAAAGGAAUUAAUAUAUUUUUUUUGGUAAAAUGUGCUAAUGUAAAGAGUUAGAAGAUUAGUGAUGUUUAAUGAAUAGAAUGCAUUCUUUCUCAUGGAAAUGGGAAUAUAAUAAGUGUCCUGUAGGUGAUUGGGUUGUAGCAAUUUUAUUGAAGAUUAAAGUUUGAUUGACCUUUGUUAGGGUGAUUAACCUUUCAGAAAUUAAAAGCCAGAUUGGAAUUAGUCUGUCCAAUUUAAAUGCAAA
rnacentral:lncRNA from 1 species